CCUACGGGUGGCAGCAGUCGAGAAUCAUUCACAAUGGGGGAAACCCUGAUGGUGCGACGCCGCGUGGGGGAAUGAAGGUCUUCGGUUGGUAAACUCCUUUAAUGGGGACGAAAAAUAAGACGGUAGUACAAUAAGAGGAAGAGACUGCUAACUCUGUGCCAGCAGCCGCGGUAAGGCAGAGGUGUCAAGAGUUGGUCGGAUUUAGUGGGCGAAAAGGGUGAGGAGGCCGUUUCGUAAGUCGUGGGUGAAAGGCGCGGGCUCAACCCGCGGAGGGCACGUGAUACUGGGAGACUAGAGUAAAGGGGAGGGAGGCGGAAUUCGCGGUGUAGCAGUGAAAUGCGUAGAUAUCGAGAAGAACCCUGAUGGCGAAGGCAGGUUCCUGGACAGCCACUGACGCUGAGGCACGAAAGCGAGGGGAGCGAAAAGGAUUAGAUACCCCGGUAGUC
rnacentral:rRNA from 1 species